CUACGUGCCAGCAGCCGCGGUAAUACGGAGGGUGCGAGCGUUAGUCGGAAUAACUGGGCGUAAAGGGCACGCAGGCGGUGACUUAAGUGAGGUGUGAAAGCCCCGGGCUUAACCUGGGAAUUGCAUUUCAUACUGGGUCGCUAGAGUACUUUAGGGAGGGGUAGAAUUCCACGUGUAGCGGUGAAAUGCGUAGAGAUGUGGAGGAAUACCGAAGGCGAAGGCAGCCCCUUGGGAAUGUACUGACGCUCAUGUGCGAAAGCGUGGGGAGCAAACAGGAUUAGAUACCCUGGUAGUCCACGCUGUAAACGAUGUCGAUUUGGGGGUUGAGCUUUGAGCUUGGCGCCCGUAGCUAACGUGAUAAAUCGACCGCCUGGGGAGUACGGCCGCAAGGUUAAAACUCAAAUGAAUUGACGGGGGCCCGCACAAGCGGUGGAGCAUGUGGUUUAAUUCGAUGCAACGCGAAGAACCUUACCUACUCUUGACAUCCAGAGAACAUUC
rnacentral:rRNA from 1 species